AAUACAAAUAUACUUUAUCAAGUUGACCAAGUACUUUAUCAAAAAAAAAAGAGUAAUAUUAGAAACUAACUAUAGAAUUGAAAAGAAUCAAGUAACUAACCAUUGUCAGUUUUUCUAUGGAUAUAUAACUAUAUGACGGCAUAAGAAAAUAUAAAACUAUCCUUGCAAGUUGAACAAAAAACAAGCUUAUGUAGAUAUAUUUAAUGUUUUUAGCAAAUCGCAUGAAACAUGUUAAAAUAGCACGGUAUUUAUAAAAAAGAUGACAUUUUAUAACGUACAUUUUACACAAAUAACAUGUUAUAUAAACAAAUAUCGUUUCAUUUGAAAAGUUGAACCAGGAACAAGCUUAUACGAAGAUAAAAUAAUAGAUUUAAGAAAGUUUUAACAUUUAAAUCAUGUUUUUAGAAGAAAUUAUAUGUGAUUUUAAUAAAUAAUGUGUUAUAUGAAAAAGUAGCAUGUUGGGAGAGAGAGAUUUCUAGUUAUCACGUGUAAUUCGAAAAAGUAGCGUGGUAUAAAAGAAAAUAACAUACAAUUUAAAAAAAAACAUAACGACGGAAAUUCCAAGAAAGAAUCAAAAUCGAAUAAAAAAUGACAAAUCUUCUGCAAAUUGAAGGAGAGAUGAUCUAUCAAUAUAAAUAACGUUUGGGAGCCUACAUUUAUCGAAAAAGAGAUCGGGUGGUUGUGAUGGUGGAAGAUGUGGUGGUUGUGGUGGUGGAAAAAAGAAAGAUGAGAUGAUUCUAAGUGUUUUAUAUGAUUUUGAAAAACAGCAUGUAAUAUAUAUAUAUAAAAUACGAAAAUGGGUAGAAAGGUAAUUGCAAGUGAAGAAAGAGAGUAUGGUCUGACGCCAUGGCUAUUUUGUUAGUUAUUUUACAAUCCAUAGUUAUUUAGUGCAUAUUCUAAAAUAAAAAUAAAAAAUUGAUCAAGUAAUUUAAAAAAUGCUAU
rnacentral:sRNA from 1 species